rnacentral:tRNA from 1 species
GGGGAUAUAGCUCAGCUGAUAGAGCGCUUCGCUGGCAGCGAAGAGGUCCAGGGUUUAAGUCCCUGUAUCUCCACCA